rnacentral:other from 1 species
AGAUCCCUGAGGUGUUCGCCAGUUGGAUACGUCCUCGAGCCGAUAAUCUUAUUCAGGUGACCACUCGAGGGUAAUGUGAGCAUGUCCCCAAGCGGGAAAGCCUAAUUUACCACAGCGGUUGCCACCUUGAACCAUUGGGUUCAAGGCCAUAUCCGACAGCGACGCCGCGGGGACCUU